UGAUCUGUGAGAGGAUCUAAAAGAUCAGCCUGGUCCUCUCUCCUACCUCUAGAGCAGUAGAAAUCGUUUGUGUUCAGUCGUAGGAUUCUUACAGCACUGUUAAUCAGAGCGAACACCUCCCGGUACCUGUGUCAUGUGUGGUUGCAGUGUGGUUGAGGUUUUCCUUUAAUUGGUCUGCUAUGGUUUCGGAAGAAGACAAAGAAGUCAUGAACUACACAACAACAGAGGACAAUCUGAACCCUGCACUCAUUAGAGAGACCAUCUUCUACACUACUGCUGUGUGUGCGGGUCUUCCAGCUGUGGUUUGGGCUCUGCACGUUCUGUACCACCAUCAUAGGCGUGGAGGCCGAAUCUCAGCCUUCAGCAUCUUCCUCCUCCUCAGCGACCUGCUGGAGCUGGUUCUCAGUUCAGUAAUUAUGUCAUUCACAUGGGGAAGACAUUUUGUAAUAAACCGUAAUGCUGUUCUUUAUCUUUUCUUUGGAACCAGGAUCUGCGGUCAUCACCUUCACCAGUUGGUGGCGCUAGAGAGUGUUCUUUCUCUGAGAUAUCCAUCUCUCGCUCAUAUUUUCUCUCCACUCUGCUCCACUGUUCUCUGCAUCAUCAUGGUGCUGUUGGUGAUCGUGUUGAUGUUUAUAAGUCUCGUUGGAUGGGUCAUAAAUAUGGUUUUGUGUCUUUUGCCUUUAGUUGUGCUAGUUUUCACAUGUUUACUUACCUGCAAAGCCUCUUCUGAUCAUGUUCUGCCUACAAACACAAAACCUGGUGUCUUGGCGCGAAGCAUUGCCACAUUUACGCUUGUUGUUUUAUAUGUGCCAUUUUUUUUAAACAUGUUUUCGGAUUCUGCGUUUUAUUUAGA